rnacentral:rRNA from 1 species
UACGUAGGCAGCGAGCGUUGUUCGGAGUUACUGGGCGUAAAGGGUGUGUAGGCGGUUGCUUAAGUUUGGUGUGAAAUCUCCCGGCUCAACCGGGAGGGUGCGCCGAAUACUGAGUGACUAGAGUGCGGGAGAGGAAAGUGGAAUUCCUGGGUGUAGCGGUGAAAUGCGUAGAUAUCAGGAGGAACACCGGUGGUGUAGACGGCUUUCUGGACCGUAACUGACGCUGAGACACGAAAGCGUGGGUAGCAAACAGG